AGAGUUUGAUCCUGGCUCAGAACGAACGCUGGCGGCAUGCUUCAGACAUGCAAGUCGAACGAGAUUUUCGGAUCUAGUGGCGCACGGGUGAGUAACGCGUGGGAACCUACCUUUCAGUUCGGAAUAACAGCCGGAAACGACUGCUAAUACCGUAUACGCCCUCCGGGGGAAAGGUCAGCCGCUGAAAGAGGGGCCCGCGUCUGAUUAGCUUGUUGGUAGGGUAAAAGCCUACCAAGGCUUCGAUCAGUAGCUGGUCUGAGAGGAUGAUCAGCCACACUGGGACUGAGACACGGCCCAGACUCCUACGGGAGGCAGCAGUCGGGAAUAUUGGACAAUGGAGGAAACUCUGAUCCAGCAAUGCCGCGUGUGUGAUGAAGGCCCUAGGGUUGUAAAGCACUUUCAACGGUGAAGAUGAUGACGGUAGCCGUAGAAGAAGCCCCCGGCUAACUUCGUGCCAGCAGCCGCGGUAAUACGAAGGGGGCGAGCGUUGUUCGGAAUUAUUGGGCGUAAAGGGCGCGCAGGCGGUUUGGAUAGUUAGACGUGAAAGCCCUGGGCUUAACCUAGGAACUGCGUU
rnacentral:rRNA from 1 species